rnacentral:rRNA from 1 species
UGUACGGUCAGAGGGGGACUGAGACACGGCCCCCACUCCUACGGGAGGCAGCAGCAGGGAAUCUUGCGCAAUGGGCUAAAAGGCCUGACGCAGCGACACCGCGUGGGGGAAGAAGGCUCUAGGGUUGUAAACCCCUUUUCUCGGGGAAGAGUGAGGACGGUACCCGAGGAAUAAGCCUCGGCUAACUACGUGCCAGCAGCCGCGGUAAUACGUAGGAGGCGAGCGUUGUCCGGAUUUACUGGGCGUAAAGGGCGAGUAGGCGGCCCGUCAAGUCUCAUGUGAAAUCUCCCGGCUCAACUGGGAGGGGUCAUGGGAAACUGGCGGGCUUGAGGUCAGCAGAGGAAAGUGGAAUUCCCGGAGUAGCGGUGAAAUGCGUAGAUACCGGGAGGAACACCAGAGGCGAAGGCGGCUUUCUGGGCUGCACCUGACGCUGAGGCGCGAAAGCAUGGGGAGCAAACCGGAUUAGAUACCCGGGUAGUCCAUGCCCUAAACGAUGGAUACUAGGUAUGGGGGGUAUCGACCCCCUCCGUGUCGAAGCUAACGCGAUAAGUAUCCCGCCUGGGGAGUACGGCCGCAAGGCUAAAACUCAAAGGAAUUGACGGGGGCCCGCACAAGCAGCGGAGCGUGUGGUUUAAUUCGAUGAUAAGCGAAGAACCUUACCAGGGCUUGACAUGCUUCUGCAAUCCGCCGAAAGGUGGACCUCCUUCGGGACAGAUGCACAGAUGUUGCAUGGCUGUCGUCAGCUCGUGCCGUGAGGUGUUGGGUUAAGUCCCGCAACGAGCGCAACCCUUGUCGUUAGUUGCUUUUUUCUAGCGAGACUGCCCCUAAAAAGGGGGAGGAAGGUGGGGAUGACGUCAAGUCAGCACGGCUCUUACGUCCUGGGCUACACACACGCUACAAUGGCCGGUACAGAGGGUCGCGAAGGAGCGAUCCGGAGCUAAUCCCACAAAGCCGGCCCCAGUUGGGAUUGCAGGCUGCAACUCGCCUGCAUGAACGUGGAGUUGCUAGUAACCGCAGGUCAGCACACUGCGGUGAAUACGUUCCCGGGCCUUGUACACACCGCCCGUCAAGUCAUGGAAGUCGGCAACACUUGAAGUCGCUGGGCCAACCCCGAUUUGUCGGAGAGGCAGGCGCCGAGGGUGGGGCUGGUGACUGGGACGAAGUCGUAACAAGGUAGCUGUACCGGAAGGUGCGG